rnacentral:rRNA from 1 species
CCUACGGGUGGCAGCAGUGGGGAAUCUUGCGCAAUGGGCGAAAGCCUGACGGAGCAACGCCGCGUGAGGGAAUGAAGGCCUUCGGGGUGUAAAGAUCUGUUGACAGGGACGAAUAAGCAAUGCGAAUAGUUUUGUGUAUGACGGUACCUGUAUAGAAAGCUACGGCUAACUACGUGCCAGCAGCCGCGGUAAUACGUAGGGAGCAAGCGUUGUCCGGAAUUACUGGGCGUAAAGGUCGGGUAGGUGGGCGCUUAAGUCAGGUGUGAAAACUCCGGGCCCAACCGGGGGACUGCACUUGAAACUGGGUGUCUUGAGGGCAGGAGAGGAAAGUGGAAUUCCUAGUGUAGCGGUGAAAUGCGUAGAUAUUAGGAGGAACACCAGUGGCGAAGGCGACUUUCUGGACUGUACCUGACGCUGAGGCGCGAAAGCGUGGGUAGCGAACAGGAUUAGAUACCCUUGUAGUC